ACGUUUUCCUACGAGUCGCGAGUUCCGGUGCUCAUCCGUAUAUCUUCAUCGCGUUUGUGUGCCGUGAGCCGCCGUCGCGUUCGGCGUCGUCAUCGUCCAGCGUCAGUAGGAUACCAGAUCUCGAUCGGUGUCUUCGCCGAGGACGUACGUCCCUCUCGAGACGUACGUUGCUUCACUUCCUUCCAGCCGGGAGUAGCGGGUUGCGCGCCGAAAACGAACGAUCGGGAGAAAGUGCAAAGUAGGACGAUGAGAAAAGAGAUGGGAGAAGUAACAACAAGUAGAGAGUGAGAACCGAAUCUGAGUGCGAGACUACGAAUGAUGACGAGUCGCGGCGCGAACGAGAGCGAGAGGAGAGGCCGCUGCCGCGGCCGACGUAUUGUGUAUCGCGAAUAGGCCGCACGCGAAUACCCAUCGAGACGCGCGGAGCGCGCGGCUAUAUGUGCGACGUCUCGGCGUCUAUGUGUUCGUCGGUGUUUCGACGGGCAGCGCGCGGUGAGACAGACGGAGAGAGGUGCCGGGUGUCCAUGUGUGUUCCGGGAGCGCGCGUGUGCGCGCGGGGGCGGCCAUUCGCGGGUGCUCCGCGAUAUUGUACGCGAUGCCGAGCGCGAACGACGACAGGCCGGCGGCAUUCGCCGCAGCCCUUUCCGCGACGUGGGCACGCGUUCACGGCAACGCUGAUAGCGACGGCGAUUUUGCGCGCUCCGCCGCGUGUGGAAGCGGCGGAAGGCGGAAAGCAGAGACGAAAGAGCGAAAGCGAAAAGAAGGGAUCUUUCGGCUGUACGCGAGCGAUCGUGCAUGCGUGUGUGCAAUCGCGUUAAAUAUGUGUGCACGAUCGUAUAUGUGCAUGCGCGGGCGCGGAGGAGAUCUGCCUGACGUCCUUGGUCUUUGGUGACUCAUCGCAGGUAGACAGACUGCCUUUGAGGGACAAAGAGAAAAGAUUUAUUGUUCUGUAGACAGUGAGUGGCCGUUAUAAACGGUUCUUAAAAUGGAAGGAAAUGGCACCAGGAUCGACUACGAAGAUAUGUUUAGAGAAAUUACAAAGAAACUUUACGGCGAUGAUCCUGAUCAUAAGACGUCGAGCGUACAGAACGAGUUUGAAGCAUCCGUUUCCUACAAAAACGACGAAGAUACUGGAAACGGUACCGACGGUAGCGACGACGGAAACUGGACAUACGAAGACGAACCACUUAAAGGAACCGAUGGAAGUCGAAUCGCGGCUUACCACGCCGGAAAAGCUAUGUGGCGAUGUGAUGAGUGUGGUAAAUAUAUAUGAUUCUUGUACUGUUAAAAAUAUUUGCGUUGCGGCAUUGCCUCUUUCCCUCCAAUUGCGUUAAAAAUAUUGUUGCGUACCGAUCGAUAUUAUCGAUAGAGGAUCGACGAUCGAGACACUAGCGCUUUUCGGAAGUAGGGAGUAGGGAGCGAUCGGAGCGUGACGAUCCGUUCCGGCGACAGUUGGAGAUCGAACACCGUAACGACAAGAUGUAAAUCGAGAAUUAGUCUGUAUAUAUAGAAUAAAGUUUGUAAGUAUAAUCGAGUAUAAUUAACAAAGAAUCGCGAGACCUACUUAUCCUUGAGAUUGUCUCUGAUCGAGAGACUCGACCCAAUAACGGCGGAGCGGGACGGACAUCGAGCGGCCGAAACGCCCGCACGAGAUAUCAAACAAAUAUUUUUGCAAUAAUAUGCAGCGAAUAAAUUUAAAUUCAUGGGUGUAUGUGAUAACGUUGCAUAAACCUUUUUGAAAAAUUUUUUGCGAGGCUGACUUGUUUACAAUCUCACGCUUAAAGGUCUAGAUCGAUAGAGCACAGGAUAUAGUUGAGUAAUUUUCUAUCCAAUAGUGUAAAAAGUUUAGCUGGCGCAAGAUAAAAAUAAGUUGAUUAGCAGGGGUAGAUAGCGAGAAAAGUCUCCCUGCUAAUUACCGAUCGUACCGUUUUGAACGAUCAUGAUACAUUGUUUGGCCGCAUUUCUCGAUUUACACAUUGCAAGAUAAUAAAAUCACUAAAUUUUCUCGAAUACGGUUAUAGAUUUACUUUUAAAAUAAAAAAUAUGAAU